GUCGUACUGAGGCAAGCAGACGGGCCUAAUUGUAUCUAGUUAAAGGGGAAAUGUACAUACAAAUUCUGACAGGUUGGAACAUGAUAACUUGGUUAAAUAUUAAGCCUUUUCGUCCACGCUGUUUGAGAAACGUACACAUAGAUCAUGUUUUCAUCCUGUCGUGGUUUUGUCUUGUAAUGGGCUUCCUCAAGUUUACCUUGUACUGUGAAUGUGUUCACUCAAAAAUGUGUUUUGUUCAUUGUUACUUCACUUGGUUGUCCAGAUUGAUGAAUGUGCAUAGUUUGACACUAGAAGGCUGUUUUCACAUUUAUCUGCUGAGGUGGAAAUGUUUCUCUGUGCUCACCUUAAAACUCGGUUUAAAACAAGCAGGAUUUUAUGACACGGAAGCCGAUCCGUGGUCCAAUAUGCAAUUUACAGAAAUGGGAUGUGAAAAGUUGAAACCGCCAGUGCACAUCGACUUUUAGUCAAGUAGAGGACAUCUUGCGUGCAGUAGUUAAACGUUUUGAAAUGAAAAAAUAUAGUAAUGGUAUUCAUGGAUACUUCACUGACUGAUUCUUUUCACUGAGUGACAAAGCAUAAAUACAAUUUAGAAAGGUUUUUAAAAAAGGUAAUACGAUUUUCUUGACACAAAUUAUUACUGGAUUUUUAUUCUAUAUGUCUUAAAACAUGGGGGGGGAUCUUUAAACUUCGUUGAAGUUGUAUGCCCACAUUUGAAAUAUUGUGGUUACAGAGAGGAAUGUACUGUUGUGGUGCAACAUAUGUAUCCGGUUGAUUACAAGUGUAUAUCAUUAUUCAUUAUGGUGACAGACGUUAGACCAUAGCUUGUUCUUCCUCUAAAAAAAAUUGGGAAGAUACCAUUUUUGUGGGGGUCUGAUGGAGGCUUGUUUUCUGAAAACAUAAAACAGUGAACUGAGACCAUAGUAUUGGCAUUUUGUUGUGUUUUUUUAAGUGCUACCUUCUCUGUUGUGUGAAAAGCUUGCAAAGAGCCUCCCAGACUAACCUGAGAAAUUCAGCGGCGUCCGCAGUUUCAUCAGGGCUAUAUCACUGUCGUGGCUCCUGUGGUUAUAGUUCUUGUUGUAAAUGAUCUUCUCCACAGCGUAACCUGUGUGCUGAGCCAUUUUAGCCGAGGUGCGGGUGACAAUACCGGCGUAGACCACCCAGCUGGAUACCUGAGGUUGCCUGUAGCUGACAUUUGAGGGGGAAAAAAAAGAGGAGGCAGAUACUGAUAAGAGAGAAUAUGUCAGGUUUGGUGCAGCUGUUAAUGUCGGAUUAUUCUCCUUUGAUUUUGUCGUCCCGGACCUUUUAGUGUUGGUAAGGUCAGCUGUCUUACUUGUGAACACAAUGCGCAGCUGUGACUACCCAUUGACUGGUGAUGAUAGAGCCUCCGCAGGUGUGACGGUUGCUGUAGUAGAGGCUGACCUGCCAAGGCCACCUGCCCGGCGUGGCCUCGACCCCCCCGAUUAUCCUGGGCAGCUUCGCUCGUGUCCCACACUCUACACAGAGAUCCAUUCAUCAAAAAAGUGGUGGACUGCUGCAUCAUUCACUCUGUCUCUAGCUUUUUUUGUGAAGUAUUAUAAAGAAACUAAAGGGCAUGGUGUUAAAUGCAAAGUCAAACAAAAAGUGAAGUUUAAUUUGCUCACCAAAACAUUGCAAAGCGAUAACCUUCCCUGUGAUACAGUUCCCCCUAAAUGAAAAUAAAUUGUGUAAUUAAUGAUGAAUAAUUAAUGUGUUUGUAGACACAAUUUUCUCUGCAUCAUUACGAGAAGGAUGUCCUCGGAUAUAUGGCCUUACCUGAAUUGCCACAUAUUUUCCAGAUUGCUCUUGUGUUCUGAGGUAAUUUGUAUAAAGCCUUCAGUAUGGUUUGGCCCAAUAUCAGUUAGUUUCACUCCUUUAUGCUUGGUCAGUCUGGUAAGAGAACAUAUGCAAAAUAGGUGGGAGUAAGUGUUAAGAUAAUUCAGACUCAUAACAUGUUAAGCAAGAAUGCAAAUAAAGUAUUAGAAAAUCACAAAUAAGAAAAGCUUUCAACCUUAGCAAA